ensembl:lncRNA
CCACAAACUAAAUGCAGUUUCUCAAGAAAUGGGGGUUUGCCAAAUGCUCAUAGUGGGAGAGGCUACACAAAUAGCUGCAACAUGGCACACAGUCGCAUAUUUCUUUUCUCACUGCUGAGGAAGAAGAGGUUGUGUUGUCUUUGAGAAAACUUCAAUAGCAAGACUUGGAAGGAGCAAGAUGGAAAUUCUGCAGAGGCAAAACUGACCUGGGUGUCUCUGCUCUGGUUGGUCUGACAUCUGAGCUGCUCUGCUUUGGAAGGGGAGCUUAGUAAGAAGGAUUCUCUGAAGCACAUAGGAAGAGAGAAGGACUUGUUUUCCUGUUCCAUAGAAGCUUUUCAUAACCCCCCCAUAAGGCUCUAUAAGGGCAGGCUUUGGCUUGAAAUCACAGCUUCAGUGCUCAAGGUUUAUCCCUGUCUGCUUUCCCUUCAUCCUUCUUCACGUGGCUUAAGGAAAAAUUUUUUGUGCUCCAGUAUCCAACCUAUGUAUGAACAGACACAGCUUUUUCUAGCAUUCUCAGCGGACGUUUCAGUGUUCAUCAGAAAACAGCUCUUUGAAGUCAUUCUUUAUUACUUGAAACCUGUUUGUGGGUCUUGGUUGUUGAACAGAAUUCUUCUUACUCUUUGAUUGGACGAGGUGCUUGAGCAAAUUCAGUGGAAACGUGCAUGUGGAGAUAUAAAAGUGUGGGGAUUUUUGUGCUUAGCUACCAAAUGUUAAUGUUUGCUGGAAAUAAAAUUGCUUGCAUGAAUGUCUUAAGCUCAACAUAAAAGGAUGAUGAUACACAAUUGAGGAAAAUGUAUUAUAAAUUAAAAACAAAAGCAAGCAAACAAACAAAAAAUCAAACAACAAACCAAAAUAUUUUAAUGUAAUUUUCACAGUCCCGUUGCUCUUUGUAUCACUUCUGUGCUUCUCCGUAUUGCAGUGCAAUCUUCUGAAGCUGGAGAAUUAUUUCUCUUGAUUUAAUUUUGUAUAAUAUCUCAGUCCUCCUUUCUACUCAGGACUGGUCGCAUUCAUUCAAAUAAAUAGUCAGCUUCUAUAUUCCUAUUAUGUUCCAGGCACUUUUGCUGUUUCCAGUUGGAUUGGCUUGGGUAGUCUUCCUUCUUUUCUCCUUCACACCCACUCGUGAGCUGUAGAACAGUUGUCAUGUGGCAGGCUCAUGUGCUGCAUCUGGACACACAGUCAUGUUUGUAGACUGAGAUGGUAAGAGCGGUGAAGAGCAUUCAGUUCUAACCACCCCUGUUCCUGCAUUUAUGAUUUCCUCAGACUUUUGCAUCAUUAGAUGACUUUUAUUCCAGCAUUUGCUUUGCCUCAAAAAACUGAGGGAAAAUAAAAAUAUUUUAACAUAAACAUUGUUACAUAUUGUUGAAGAUCAGUUAUGAUGUAACAUGCCUGUAUGAACCAGUGAUUAUCUGAAAAUAGAUUAAUAUUAAUGAAGUUGAUAUUAGGUGUAUAAUUUAUUUGUAUGUAUUUUUGGAACUUAGAUAUGCCUCUGUAUGAAUGACGUGUCCGGCAGUUGAAUUCUUUGCCUCUAUGUGGUCAGCAGAAAAUAAAAAUAGUCAAAGUUCUUCUCUCAGCCCACAUAACUUAGCAAAGAAAAAGAGGCUUUGCAUUUUCCUUGUCUCUGUGUUUAAAAUCACAAAAAUUAAUAAAGAGAAAACCUUUUGAAUCCCG